rnacentral:rRNA from 1 species
GAUGAACGCUGACAGAAUGCUUAACACAUGCAAGUCUUUGGCGAAGCUGUGCUUGCACAGCCUAGCCAAGGCGGACGGGUGAGUAACGCGUAAGGAACUUGCCCUGCAGUCAGGGAUAACAGACGGAAACGACUGAUAAGACCUGGUAAAGUCAGGCGGACUCAUGUCCAGCCUGAUGAAAAGAGAUGCUGCAGGAGAGCCUUGCGUCCUAUUAGCUUGUUGGUGGGGUAACGGCCCACCAAGGCGAUGAUAGGUAGCCGGCCUGAGAGGGUGGACGGCCACAAGGGGACUGAGAUACGGCCCUUACUCCUACGGGAGGCAGCAGUGGGGAAUAUUGGACAAUGGGGGCAACCCUGAUCCAGAAAUUCUGUGUGCACGAUGAAGGUUUUCGGAUUGUAAAGUGCUUUCAGCAGGGAAGAAAAAAAUGACGGUACCUGCAGAAGAAGCGACGGCUAAAUACGUG